UGUAAAGGUGCUUUUUUUAAGAAUUGAUAUAAUUUUAAAAUCCAUUUCACAGGUAUAGAUGGUAUUGGAAAAAAUAUGGAAGAGAGGGCAUAGAGAAGCUGGAGGGAAGAGGGUGGUGUGGAUUAAAGUGCUCAAGCAACACUAGUUCCCCUUGAGAUUGAGGGGAAGAGGGCGGUGUGGAUUAAAGUGGUCAAGGAACACUUGCCAUUGAGGAUUUGGGUAAUGUUAGUGUACUGGAUCACUCGCUUCACAUCAAUGGAAACGGCAGCUUAAACUAGAGGUAAAAAUGAGGCAUAUCAAAUGUAGUGCUUUUAUUCUUAUAUAUUGCAUCGGUUCCACGCUAAAUUUUCUCCUCUCCAUGGCAACGCAACUUGUAUAAAAAUAAAUAUUCACUACUUUGAGUAUUUGUUUGUGUCGAGUUGAUUUUUCUUUAUUAGAUCACUGGGCAAUUAUACAAUUAGAAUAAUGACUAGGCAUUAAUGUAAUUUGAAUAUACAUCAAAUAAAAAGAAGAUUAUCUAGUUUCUUUGA